AUUGAACGCUGGCGGCAGGCCUAACACAUGCAAGUCGAACGAGUGGCGGACGGGUGAGUAAUGUCUGGGAAACUGCCUGAUGGAGGGGGAUAACUACUGGAAACGGUAGCUAAUACCGCAUACCAUCGGAUGUGCACAGAUGGGCUUGGCUAGUAGGUGGGGUAAAGGCUCACCUAGGCGACGAUCCCUAGCUGGUCUGAGAGGAUGACCAGCCAAACUGGAACUGUGCAACGGUCCAGCCGCCUACGGGAGGCAGCAGUGGGGAAUAUUGCAAAAUGGGGGAAAGCCUGAUGCAGCCAUGCCGCGUGUAUGAAGAAGGCCUUCGGGUUGUAAAGUACUGUCAGCGGGGAGGCGUUACCCGCAGAAGAAGCACCGGCUAACUCCGUGCCAGCCGCCGCGGUAAUUC
rnacentral:rRNA from 1 species